rnacentral:siRNA from 1 species
GGACCAAAAUAGAUGUUGA